rnacentral:misc_RNA from 1 species
GAUGAAGAACGCAGCGAAAUGCGAUAAGUAAUGUGAAUUGCAGAAUUCAGUGAAUCAUCGAAUCUUUGAACGCACAUUGCGCCCGCCAGUAUUCUGGCGGGCAUGCCUGUUCGAGCGUCAUUACAACCCUCAGGCCCCCGGGCCUGGCGUUGGGGAUCGGCGGAAGCCCCCUGCGGGCACAACGCCGUCCCCCAAAUACAGUGGCGGUCCCGCCGCAGCUUCCAUUGCGUAGUAGCUAACACCUCGCAACUGGAGAGCGGCGCGGCCACGCCGUAAAACACCCAACUUCUGAAAUGUUGACCUCGGAUCAGGUAGGAAUACCCGCUGAACUUAAGCAUAUCAAUAAGCGGAGGA